rnacentral:rRNA from 1 species
UGGGGAAUAUUGCACAAUGGGCGCAAGCCUGAUGCAGCCAUGCCGCGUGUAUGAAGAAGGCCUUCGGGUUGUAAAGUACUUUCAGCGAGGAGGAAGGCGUUGUGGUUAAUAACCGCAACGAUUGACGUUACUCGCAGAAGAAGCACCGGCUAACUCCGUGCCAGCAGCCGCGGUAAUACGGAGGGUGCAAGCGUUAAUCGGAAUUACUGGGCGUAAAGCGCACGCUGGCGGUCUGUCAAGUCGGAUGUGAAAUCCCCGGGCUCAACCUGGGAACUGCAUCCGAAACUGGCAGGCUAGAGUCUUGUAGAGGGGGGUAGAAUUCCAGGUGUAGCGGUGAAAUGCGUAGAGAUCUGGAGGAAUACCGGUGGCGAAGGCGGCCCCCUGGACAAAGACUGACGCUCAGGUGCGAAAGCGUGGGGAGCAAACA